UAAAUGUGUUCAUUUGUUGUGGCC
rnacentral:piRNA from 1 species